AUACUUAUCUGGCAGGGGAGAUAGCAUGAUCAUGAAGGUGGUUUUCUCAGGGUGAGGUUCAUCCAUUGCACUCUGAAUGUACUGACCCCUACAAUUUCUCCAAAUAUAGGGAGUCCGCUGCAUAAUUUGUGGUAUUGGAGAUUGUAUUUGUGCUUUCCCCUA
rnacentral:snRNA from 1 species